rnacentral:rRNA from 1 species
ACUCAAAUGAAUAGACGGGGGCCCGCACAAGCGGUGGAGCAUGUGGUUUAAUUCGACGCAACGCGAAGAACCUUACCUGGGCUCGAAAUGUUAUGGACCGCGGUAGAAAUAUCGCUUUCCCGCAAGGGACCGUAAUAUAGGUGCUGCAUGGCUGUCGUCAGCUCGUGUCGUGAGAUGUUGGGUUAAGUCCCGCAACGAGCGCAACCCUUACCUCCAGUUGCUACCAUUUAGUUGAGCACUCUGGCGGAACCGCCUCGGAUAACGGGGAGGAAGGUGGGGAUGACGUCAAGUCCUCAUGGCCUUUAUGUCCAGGGCUACACACGUGCUACAAUGGCCGGUACAAACCGUCGCAAACCCGUGAGGGGGAGCUAAUCGGAGAAAGCCGGCCUCAGUUCGGAUCGCAGUCUGCAACUCGACUGCGUGAAGCUGGAAUCGCUAGUAAUCGCGGAUCAGAAUGCCGCGGUGAAUACGUUCCCGGGCCUUGCACACACCGCCCGU